GCUGCUUGGUACUUUCCAUUACAGCCACUUCUUUAUACCAUGUGAAAAUUCGGUCACCCAUCAACUCACAAGCAUCAUUUUAAUGAUUUAAUGAAAGGUGAAAACACUGAGAGCAGUCCAAGGAAAUUACAUCAUGGCAUUACAUCAUAGGUACUUAAACUAAAGGCAUGAAAUUACGAUGUCAUUUUAAAAAAACACCGCUGUCAAUUAAAGAUGAUGUACAGAUUUUUGUACAAAAGGAAGACAGAAGAUAAGUUAGUAGUGAAAUCGUAAUCUCUUUUUUUGCCUAAAAAUGCCUGCGUUUUUACCACUAGAGGGUACCGGUGCUCCACAGAGUGAGGGGUUGCAUCUCCCUAGUUUUGAAACAGGCUCAAAGCAGCUCAAAGAUGCUCAGGUCGAUCGCAGCCACGUAUUUGAUGCAAGGAAAGGGGUCUUACAGCGAUGAAGGAGUUUGGUCAAUAAACAUCCCAGGUUUGACACCAAGGGACAGCUGCUCAGUGCUGUUGGGGGUACUGCUUGUUCGAUCUCUGCGUGUGGCACCGAGCACGCUGCAAGUCCCAGCUGCAAGUGAGAGCCCACCCGUGAGAACAAGAGGUCAUGCAGGACAAAACACCCACUAAAAGUAGGGUGAGAGGAUCGUACUGAAGACCACAAUUUGUUAUGAAUAAUCUUGAGGGCAAAUCUGAGAAGAGAUCGUGGCCAGAACCCCGCAUUGCAGGGAGUGCAUGAAAGCUCCUCAGAGGCGCCAUUGCUGAGGGGGAGCUGCAGGCCCCAAACCCACGGAGCCCUCAGAGCCUCGCCCCGGGCUCCUUCCCGCAGGACUCCGGGGUAAUGAUGGAAGGAAGGAGGAACAGGACAGAAGAGUGGGGUACAGCCAGCAGAUAGUUCUACAUUCAGAGUGAGCCCCUGGCUUCUACAGGGCCUGGUGCCAAAAUGAAACAGCUGCAUUUAUUCAACAUGUCCAUGUUCAAAACAUCGAAUCCUUACUGCUGAUGAAGACAUACCUGAACUCUGUGUGCUGCAUGCCCUGCUGCUUUCCUCAGACUGACAGAAGGUUGCUUCACCUGCCUGAUGUUUGCUUGCUGAUGACAAAGAGACCUCAAGCAGGAACUGAAAUUGUCAUCCCACACAAAUACAGGCCAGAAGCUUUACAGUUACACUUUUCUAUCUUAUGAGUAUGAGAUAUUGUCCACGCAAUUGAAUAUAAAGUCAUUCAAAGAACCUGCUUGACUCUAA